CAUACAGAUCUGUGUAGAUGGAAGCUCCAGGACAUGUCAGAUUGGUUGACAAAGCAAAACCUUGGAGACUUCGCCCAAAGAUUCGAAGAACGCCAAGUCGGUCUUAGCUAGAUGAUGUCAUGCGUGCCCUCCAAGCGGCAUACCCCUUCCUGGCCGACUCCACUGGACGCUGCAAGUUCAGCAAAACAAGGAAAACUAUGGCAAAG
rnacentral:misc_RNA from 1 species